rnacentral:rRNA from 1 species
AGAGUUUGAUCCUGGCUCAGGACGAACGCUGGCGGCGCGCUUAACACAUGCAAGUCGAGCGGAAAGGCCCUUCGGGGUACUCGAGCGGCGAACGGGUGAGUAACACGUGAGCAACCUGCCCUCAGCUCUGGGAUAGCUCCGGGAAACCGGAAUUAAUACCGGAUACUACUUCGGCCGACAUCGGCUGCGGUGGAAAGGAUUUCCGGCUGAGGAUGGGCUCGCGGCCUAUCAGCUAGUUGGUGAGGUAACGGCUCACCAAGGCGACGACGGGUAGCCGGCCUGAGAGGGCGACCGGCCACACUGGGACUGAGACACGGCCCAGACUCCUACGGGAGGCAGCAGUGGGGAAUAUUGCGCAAUGGGCGAAAGCCUGACGCAGCGACGCCGCGUGGGGGAUGAAGGCCUUCGGGUUGUAAACCCCUUUCAGCAGGGACGAAGCGCAAGUGACGGUACCUGCAGAAGAAGCGCCGGCUAACUACGUGCCAGCAGCCGCGGUAAU